GCAUAUCAAUAAGCGGAGGAAAAGAAACUAACAAGGAUUCCCUUAGUAACGGCGAGUGAAGCGGGAAGAGCUCAAAUUUGAAAUCUUCAAGGUUCUACCUUGACGAAUUGUAGUUUAAAGAAGUGUUUUCUGUUAGAUGAGUAGCAAAAGUUCCUUGGAAUGGGACAUCAUAGAGGGUGAGAAUCCCGUAUUUGGUUAUUCAUUCUAGCUUUGUGAUACACUUUCAAAGAGUAGGAUUGUUUGGGAAUGCAGUCCAAAAUGGGUGGUAAAUUUCAUCUAAAGCUAAAUAUUGGCGAGAGACCGAUAGCGAACAAGUACCGUGAGGGAAAGAUGAAAAGAACUUUGAAAAGAGAGUUAAACAGUACGUGAAAUUGUCAAAAGGGAAGCGUUUGACACCAGUGUUGUUUUUCCGAAAAUCAAUUACGAAUGGCUUGAUUUUGUGUUGUAUUGACCUUAUCAGCUUUCUUCACUUCUUUCGAGUCUUUCUUAAUGCACUUUUCGGUUAACAAGUCAACAUCAAUUUCUUUUGUUGUAAAAGAGUAUUCGGAAGGUGGCUUUCUUUUCGGAGAAAGUGUUUAUAGCCCUAUACUUCUACAAUCGGAGAGAUUGAGGUCUGCAGCGUAGAUCCUUCGGGGUUAGAUACACUUGUACUAAGUUGUAGCUUUUCAUAGACAACUUGUUGACUAUGUUUAGUCAUGCGGCUUACUCGCUUGUGCUAUUUUACCUACGCUUAGGAUGUUGACAAAAUGGUUUUAAACGACCCGUCUUGAAACACGGACC
rnacentral:rRNA from 1 species